ensembl:miRNA
CUGCCCAGUGUUCAGACUACCUGUUCAGCCAAAGUGCUGCGAACAGUAGUCUGUACAUUGGUCAGGC